rnacentral:rRNA from 1 species
AACGAACGCUGGCGGCAUGCCUAACACAUGCAAGUCGAACGAGACCUUCGGGUCUAGUGGCGCACGGGUGCGUAACGCGUGGGAAUCUGCCCUUGGGUUCGGAAUAACAGCGAGAAAUUGCUGCUAAUACCGGAUGAUGACGUAAGUCCAAAGAUUUAUCGCCCAAGGAUGAGCCCGCGUAGGAUUAGCUAGUUGGUGAGGUAAAGGCUCACCAAGGCGACGAUCCUUAGCUGGUCUGAGAGGAUGCUCAGCCACACUGGGACUGAGACACGGCCCAGACUCCUACGGGAGGCAGCAGUGGGGAAUAUUGGACAAAUGGGCGAAAGCCUGAUCCAGCAAUGCCGCGUGAGUGAUGAAGGCCUUAGGGUUGUAAAGCUCUUUUACCCGGGAUGAUAAUGACAGUACCGGGAGAAUAAGCUCCGGCUAACUCCGUGCCAGCAGCCGCGGUAAU